rnacentral:rRNA from 1 species
UACGUAGGGGGCAAGCGUUGUCCGGAAUCAUUGGGCGUAAAGAGCGCGUAGGCGGCCCUGUAAGUCCGCUGUGAAAGUCAAGGGCUCAACCCUUGAAUGCCGGUGGAUACUGCAGGGCUAGAGUCCGGAAGAGGCGAGUGGAAUUCCUGGUGUAGCGGUGGAAUGCGCAGAUAUCAGGAAGAACACCCGUGGCGAAGGCGGUUCUCUGGGACGGUACUGACGCUGAGACGCGAAAGCGUGGGGAGCGAACAGG